rnacentral:rRNA from 1 species
AACGAACGUUAGCGGCGCGCCUAACACAUGCAAGUCGCACGAGAAAGGGCUUCGGCCCCGGUAAAGUGGCGCACGGGUGAGUAACACGUGGGUAAUCUGCCCUCGAGCGGGGGAUAACAUUCCGAAAGGAGUGCUAGUACCGCAUAAGACCACGAUCUCGAUAGAGGACGAGGUAAAAGCUGGCCUCUAUACAUAAGCUAGCACUUGAGGAUGAGCCGGCGGCGCAUCAGGUAGUUGGUGAGGUAAUGGCUCACCAAGCCUAAGACGCGUAGCUGGACUGAGAGGAUGAUCAGCCACACUGGAACUGAGACACGGUCCAGACUCCUACGGGAGGCAGCAGUGGGGAAUCUUGCGCAAUGGGCGAAAGCCUGACGCAGCGACGCCGCGUGAGUGAUGAAGGCCUUCGGGUUGUAAAGCUCUGUGGGGAGAGAAGAAUUAGUGCAGCCUAAUACGUUGCAUGAUGACGGUAUCUCCUUAGCAAGCACCGGCUAACUCUGUGCCAGCAGCCGCGGUAA